rnacentral:rRNA from 1 species
GACGAACGCUGGCGGCGUGCUUAACACGUGCAAGUCGAACGGAAAGGCCCUGCUUUUGUGGGGUGCUCGAGUGGCGAACGGGUGAGUAACACGUGAGUAACCUGCCCUUGACUUUGGGAUAACUUCAGGAAACUGGGGCUAAUACCGGAUAGGAGCUCCUGCUGCAUGGUGGGGGUUGGAAAGUUUCGGCGGUUGGGGAUGGACUCGCGGCUUAUCAGCUUGUUGGUGGGGUAGUGGCUUACCAAGGCUUUGACGGGUAGCCGGCCUGAGAGGGUGACCGGCCACAUGGGGACUGAGAGACGGCCCAGACUCCUACGGGAGGCAGCAGUGGGGAAUAUUGCGCAAUGGGCGGAAGCCUGAUGCAGCAACGCCGCGUGCGGGAUGACGGCCUUCGGGUUGUAAACCGCUUUCGCCUGUGACGAAGCGUGAGUGACGGUAAUGGGUAAAGAAGCACCGGCUAACUACGUG